UACUUGGUUAUUUCUUGUGAUAUUUCAUUGAGUCUUCUUUUUCUUUCAUAAUUUUUAAACAGUCUGACUAUUCUUAUGUUAGUACUUCUUAAUCUGUUCCCCAGAUCAGUUGGUUUUAUGGUGAGAUGUUUCAUAUUCUCUUCUAUUUUUUUUUUAUUCUUUUGAUUUUGUUUGUUGUUUGUUUAUUCAUUGAGUUGCCCUAGAGACAUUUGCACUUCACUCUGGCUGAACUUCUGACUCUUUAUGUCUGGUUUUUCUUGGGAUCUUAUAUUAUUUUAAGAGAACAACUGCUAAAACUGCUUUAGAACUGACUUCAGUUAUUCUCUGCUGUUCUACAUUCCCUCUGAAGUGAUAUUCUGUCUUUUUCUUUGGAGGAAACUUGAAGAGCCAAAAGUUUUGUGACCUACUCCUCCAUCUUUCUAGAAUCCUCCUUAAGAAUAGUCAUUUUUGAAAAAAAGCUGUGUGAGCUUGAGGUUUCCCAAAUUUGAGGAAAGAAGAAAAGGAGGAAGGAAGGAAGGAAGGAAAGAAGGAAGGAAAGAAGAGAAGUCAGAGAAGUGAAGUUAAGGAAGGGCAGUCAAGGGAAAAAAGCAAGAGAAAAAAACAGACAGCAAGAAUGCAGAGAGAGGAGAAGGAAAGCAACUAUAUAUUUCACUCCAGGGUAACUUUUAGAACAGAAGUGAUGAAACAGAUGAACAAAUAUUUUGUAAAAGCCUACUGGACGGAGAUAUUAAUAAACCAAUAAAAG